GGCCUAGUUGUACGGUAUAAAAGUGAAGGAGCCUAAAGAUCGGGGCUCUAUUCUUGGACUCGGACUUCUGCACACAUAUCUCCUUGUAAGAAGCCCCAGCGCUGGUAUCACGGAAGACACAAGCAACAUAGUCAGCGGCUGCAACAACUAAAGAUGCUCUUGUUUUGAAGUGACCGGAAGAAGCAGCAACAUGGCGGCGGCAAACCCGAGAAGUUCUUCGAUCAUACAGAAACUGCUGACCACGACCACUGGUUGGGGAAAACAAGGGGAGGAGGACUCUGUGUGUACGUAAAUGAAGUUGCAUAUAACUGUCUAGAACGGAACGUUUCCCAUAUUGAACAGAUGCAGGACCUGCUGCACAAACUUUCACCAUCCGUUUUGCAUCUCAACUUUUUUUAAUCCUAUACAGUUGGGUCUGAACAGCAGCUGGGCAUAAACAUGAAGCCUGAUGGCUGCUGGAAUUAAGGAUCUUCAAAAUCUCUCUGUCCUGCAUUGAACAGAGAGGAGCCGUCCACCAUUAUGUUCCGAUCCAUCAAGGUGCCAUGAAGCAGAUGACCUGAGAAUGCUCAAUGUCUCCAUCACCUCCCUCUGAAUCCAUCAGGGACACACGUCUGAAGCCAUGUUUGAAUUUCAUGAAGUCAUGAUGUUAUUAUAAUACAAAGUUCAUCAGGACUUUUAUGAACUGUGGAUGUGACUACAUGUAAUAGAUGUGUAAACAUGUAGUAUUAAAAUCGUUUGCAGAAUUUC